rnacentral:rRNA from 1 species
UACGGGGGGGGCAAGCGUUGUUCGGAAUUACUGGGCGUAAAGGGCUCGUAGGCGGCCAACUAAGUCAGACGUGAAAUCCCUCGGCUUAACCGGGGAACUGCGUCUGAUACUGGAUGGCUUGAGGUUGGGAGAGGGAUGCGGAAUUCCCGGUGUAGCGGUGAAAUGCGCAGAUAUCGGGAAGAACACCCGUGGCGAAGGCGGCUCUCUGGGACAACACUGACGCUGAAGCACGAAAGCGUGGGGAGCAAACAGG